GUCCACGCCGUAAACGAUGUCUACUUGGAGGUUGUGGCCUUGAGCCGUGGCUUUCGGAGCUAACGCGUUAAGUAGACCGCCUGGGGAGUACGGUCGCAAGAUUAAAACUCAAAUGAAUUGACGGGGGCCCGCACAAGCGGUGGAGCAUGUGGUUUAAUUCGAUGCAACGCGAAGAACCUUACCUACUCUUGACAUCCAGAGAACUUUCCAGAGAUGGAUUGGUGCCUUCGGGAACUCUGAGACAGGUGCUGCAUGGCUGUCGUCAGCUCGUGUUGUGAAAUGUUGGGUUAAGUCCCGCAACGAGCGCAACCCUUAUCCUUGUUUGCCAGCGAGUAAUGUCGGGAACUCCAGGAAGACUGCCGGUGAUAAACCGGAGGAAGGUGGGGACGACGUCAAGUCAUCAUGGCCCUUACGAGUAGGGCUACACACGUGCUACAAUGGCGCAUACAGAGGGCUGCCAACUUGCGAAAGUGAGCGAAUCCCAAAAAGUGCGUCGUAGUCCGGAUUGGAGUCUGCAACUCGACUCCAUGAAGUCGGAAUCGCUAGUAAUCGUGGAUCAGAAUGCCACGGUGAAUACGUUCCCGGGCCUUGUACACACCGCCCGUCACACCAUGGGAGUGGGCUGCAAAAGAAGUAGGUAGUUUAACCUCGGGGGGACGCUACCAC
rnacentral:rRNA from 1 species